rnacentral:lncRNA from 1 species
CUGAGGGGGGAGCACUUCCUCUGGAGCCUUCAGGAUUAUGUGCAAGAUAGGGGGCUCCCCCUCCCAUCCACAGUCUGGGAGGGAACAUGUGCUUCUGUCUAAACACCUCCUCACUGGCACCCACCCCCACCCCUGCCCCUGGUUCCCCUUCCCCCAGGGUGAGGAAAGGACGGGACACCUAGGGUUAUGACGUCUCAAUGGGAAAAAUGAGGCACAGAUGUGGCAAGUAAUCUCACAAGGUCAACAGUCUGCCUCCAGAGCCUACAUUCUUACACCCUGAGCACCUUAGUGCCUCACACACACAGCUGACGCCCAGGGAAAUGCAACACAGGGCGGCAACAGUGAACCCGGCAGACAAUGGAGUCCAGGCCACCAACACCUGAAGGCACAGCCCUGCACCCUCGAAGGUCUAAGCCUACAACUUAACAUUAGCAGGGACCAGGAAAUAAUGCUCUCCAAGCCUCACUUUCCAGCUCUAUCUAGCUUGCAUGACCUCAUGGGUAUCCAAACUCUGUCUCUGGGAAACGAAAGGAAAGAAUGCCCAGAGUCCCGGCCAACUGGUCGGCGCAGUUUUCCUUUAAGGCUGCCUUUGACGUUGCACGGGUUCCAGAAGGUUCUCUCGGGAUUCGAGCCGUGGCCAGUAAGUCCCACCUUCUCAAGCCGGACAUUGGACUAAUAUAGUUGCCCGCCCUCUUUCGGGUCUGAGCCCCAGAGACCAACCAAUAAGAUUAAAGGGCGCGUGGAGUUUCCGCCCCCUGUCCCCUUCACCAAUGACACGACGAGAUAGCGAAGAGGCGUGGUUGAUUGAUCCCAGAGCGCACCAAUCAGACCCGCACCCAUCACGGCCCGGAAUAUGUGCGCGUGUGGCCGGGUGACGGGGGCGGAGCGUGGGCGACUCUUACCGACCGCUCGUUGAGAGCUGUCCAAUGACAGCAGAGGCCGAGCUGAGUGACG